GGCUUUUGUGCUGGGUUGAGCUGUAUCUUCCCACAGUGGUAUGCUGAAGUCCCUGUUCCCUGUACGACAGGAUGUGACCAGAUUAUUGUGAGACAUUGUUUCUGUUCAGCCGUUCCACUCCUGGGAGCUAAUAAUCUACUCGGAGGCAGAAAGCCUUCAUAGGAAACAGGUCACAAGGCAAGGCAUUACAGAAUUUCAGGACCGUAGAAUCUGUGCCCUGGAGCAGCCAAGCAGUCCUUGACAGUGGCAUCUCCUUAGACACACAGCUGGGUUCCCAGAAAGCCAUCGUCUGGCCUCUCUCCCUAGACUGGAUUUUCCACAGUCCCAACUACAGCACAUUCAGGGUCUUAUGGAAUCUUUCUCAUCGGGACUUCCUGGGAAGAUGGGAACAAAUGCCUAUUCACGUCAGAUAGGGCCCGGAUGACAGACAAGAGAGCCUCUUCCACUGUAAACUCCACGAGAGCAAGACUUUUAUUUCUUAUUGUCUGUAGAAGCCUUAAUAUCUAUUUACUGUCUGAAUGAAUGAUGCAUCACAGACCAUUGGAGCUGGCAGGGGCCUUCUUUUGUUUGCAUCACGUAAAGGUAUUCCUUGGAGACACCUGGAGGAUCUUGAGGAGGGAUGAUGUCAGUAAUGGUCUGAUGUAUAUCUAGCGCCUUCCAGUUUACAGAACAAUUUGAACACCACACCGGACCUAUGGGAAGUGGAGAAGACAUAGUUAUUUCCAUUCAACGCACAAGCAAAGUGGAAAGAUGCUC
rnacentral:lncRNA from 1 species